rnacentral:rRNA from 1 species
AGUGAACGCUGGCGGUAGGCCUAACACAUGCAAGUCGAACGGCAGCACAGUAAGAGCUUGCUCUUACGGGUGGCGAGUGGCGGACGGGUGAGGAAUACAUCGGAAUCUACUUUUUCGUGGGGGAUAACGUAGGGAAACUUACGCCAAUACCGCAUACGACCUACGGGUGAAAGCAGGGGAUCUUCGGACCUUGCGCGAUUGAAUGAGCCGAUGUCGGAUUAGCUAGUUGGCGGGGUAAAGGCCCACCAAGGCGACGAUCCGUAGCUGGUCUGAGAGGAUGGUCAGCCACACUGGAACUGAGACACGGUCCAGACUCCUACGGGAGGCAGCAGUGGGGAAUAUUGGACAAUGGGCGCAAGCCUGAUCCAGCCAUACCGCGUGGGUGAAGAAGGCCUUCGGGUUGUAAAGCCCUUUUGUUGGGAAAGAAAAGCAGCAGGUUAAUACCCCGCUGUUCUGACGGUACCCAAAGAAUAAGCACCGGCUAACUUCGUG